rnacentral:rRNA from 1 species
AUUGAACGCUGGCGGCACGCCUAACACAUGCAAGUCGAACGGCAGCAUUUUCUGUAGCAAUACAGAGAGAUGGCGAGUGGCGGACGGGUGAGUAACGCGUAGGAAUCUGCCUGAAAGAUGAGGAUAACUUGGGGAAACUCAAGCUAAUACUGAAUAAUCCCGAGAGGGAAAAGGUUGCGCAAGCAGCCGCUUUCAGAUGAGCCUGCGUUGGAUUAGCUAGUUGGUGGGGUAAAGGCCGUACCAAGGCGAUGAUCCAUAGCUGUUCUGAGAGGAAGGACAGCCACACUGGGACUGAGACACGGCCCAGACUCCUACGGGAGGCAGCAGUGGGGAAUUUUGGACAAUGGGCGCAAGCCUGAUCCAGCAAUGCCGCGUGCAGGAAGAAGG